AACGAACGCUGGCGGCAUGCCUAACACAUGCAAGUCGAACGGAGGCUUCGGCCUUAGUGGCGCACGGGUGCGUAACGCGUGGGAAUCUGCCCCUCGGUUCGGAAUAACAGUUAGAAAUGACUGCUAAUACCGGAUGAUGACUUCGGUCCAAAGAUUUAUCGCCGAGGGAUGAGCCCGCGUAAGAUUAGGUAGUUGGUGGGGUAAAGGCCUACCAAGCCGACGAUCUUUAGCUGGUCUGAGAGGAUGAUCAGCCACACUGGGACUGAGACACGGCCCAGACUCCUACGGGAGGCAGCAGUGGGGAAUAUUGGACAAUGGGCGAAAGCCUGAUCCAGCAAUGCCGCGUGAGUGAUGAAGGCCUUAGGGUUGUAAAGCUCUUUUACCAGGGAUGAUAAUGACAGUACCUGGAGAAUAAGCUCCGGCUAACUCCGUGCCAGCCGCCGCGGUAA
rnacentral:rRNA from 1 species